UGCAAUCCAGGGGAAACCACAAAAAGAGAGGUUGUUUUGAACCUGAGGGAAAACACAAAAAGAUGUUCCGCCUACAGCCCAUGAUCAACAUUGGGAUGAUGUAAGCCCAUGCAAAGGCCUGGCCUGCUGCCCCCAUCUCCAGAGCAGAUGAAAGGUACCGCGCGCUGAGUCGCCAUCUGGAAGCAAGGUUCUGGAGUUGAGCUCCUAUCUAACAACAAACAGGCCAGGCUGGAAGAACCCUGUCGUGCACAACACUCCUCAGGAGAUGGCUCUGGGCUGGAGCCCAAGGCCCCCAGGGAGGAACUUCCAACACCACUGGUCCAUCAUAUCUGAAGACUCCGCCGAGGAUCCUGGGUCCCAGCUGGCAGGGUCCAGUCCCACAGCCACCUUCAGAAAAGAGAGGCUUUCGACUAUCGAGGACCUAGAGAAUUCCAGUGAGCAGGUGGAGCCCCAUCCAGACCCUUUAGCUGCAGAGGAAGAACCAUGUAUGUCAGCCUCGUUGAACAAGGAGCAGUAUCAGAAGACAGAAGCCCUGCAGGAAAUGAACUGGCCAAGGAACCCAAGGAUACCUGGAAUUUCAGACAGCCCCUGGCAGAGAAGACGAGACCCAAAGAAGCGGGCAGCUGCAAUGCAACGUUUGCAGCAAUGGGAGGCCCAGAUGCUUCUGGAAAUUGAAGAGGCGGUCCAUCAUGAGCUUACCAUCCAAGACGGGAUCCUUAGCAUGGAGUUCCCUGACCAAACCCAGGGGCCACUUAGCUUUGGCACAGUCAGGGUAGAAGCCCAGGACCCUGCUACCUUGGAAUAAUUGGAUCAUGUACACCACACACUACAGCUGGCCCAGGAGCAGGCCACUCACUGCAGCUGUGGCAGGAACUUCGGAUUCCGUGUGAUGUUCUCUAUGAGUUGUAAUUUAUUUUAUAUUUAAACAUCUGCAUAUUUUCAAGUCCCUUAUUAUUAAAAUAAUCCUCUAUUUUCAUUUGUGUAAUUAUCUGGUUAAGAAAAUCAGUCUUGAGAGAGUAUCAGGGCUUUAUUAAUUUUUCAGAUAAGACAGAAUACUAUUUUUAGACCUGAUGAGAAUUGUGUAACAUAGAGAUGGAGAAGAACGCAUCAGAGAAAAGGCCUUCCAAUCUUCGCUAUUAAAAAUAAACUCUUUGCAUGAGAACUAUUUCCAAAGUUUGUGCUUGAAUGCAAAUCAAUCCUAUGUGUAGCCAAGAGAAUUCUAUUUCAACCUCACUUUUCAAAGACUGAAAUUCAAACACAAAAUGAGUUCAGGGAAGCAGUUUGGGGCAAUGUGUUCUUAAAAGAAAGAAUUGCAGGCCUCGGAGGAAGGACUUAGGUGACAGAUAUUUUCUGGACAUUUAUGUUAGUUUCCUGGGUUACUGUGUAUUUGCCUGGUUAGAGUAUACUUUACUAACAGACACUCAGCUGAAGACAUUAGAAUGUCAUUCUUGGGGCUGGCAAGAUGGCUCGGUGAGGUAAG